AUUGAACGCUGGCGGAAUGCUUUACACAUGCAAGUCGAACGGCAGCACGGGGCAACCUGGUGGCGAGUGGCGAACGGGUGAGUAAUACAUCGGAACGUGCCCAAUCGUGGGGGGAUAACGUAGCGAAAGUUACGCUAAUACCGCAUACGAUCUACGGAUGAAAGCGGGGGAUCGCAAGACCUCGCGCGAGUGGAGCGGCCGAUGUCAGAUUAGGUAGUUGGUGGGGUAAAGGCUCACCAAGCCAACGAUCUGUAGCUGGUCUGAGAGGACGACCAGCCACACUGGAACUGAGACACGGUCCAGACUCCUACGGGAGGCAGCUGUGGGGAAUUUUGGGACAAUGGACGAAAGUCUGAUCCAGCAAUGCCGCGUGCAGGACGAAGGCCUUCGGUUGUAAACUGCUUUUGUACAGAACGAAAAAGUCUUUAAUAACACUAGAGGCUCAUGACGGUACUGUAAGAAUAAGCACCGGCUAACUACGUAGCCAGCAG
rnacentral:rRNA from 1 species